GUGGGGAAUCUUGCGCAAUGGGCGAAAGCCUGACGCAGCCAUGCCGCGUGAAUGAUGAAGGUCUUAGGAUUGCAAAAUUCUUUCACCGGGGACGAUAAUGACGGUACCCGGAGAAGAAGCUCCGGCUAACUUCGUGCCAGCAGCCGCGGUAAUACGAAGGGGGCUAGCGUUGCUCGGAAUUACUGGGCGUAAAGGGCGCGUAGGCGGACAGCUUAGUCAGAGGUGAAAGCCCAGGGCUCAACCUUGGAAUUGCCUUUGAUACUGGCUGUCUUGAGUUUGGGAGAGGUGAGUGGAACUCCGAGUGUAGAGGUGAAAUUCGUAGAUAUUCGGAAGAACACCAGUGGCGAAGGCGGCUCACUGGCUCGAUACUGACGCUGAGGUGCGAAAGCGUGGGGAGCAAACAGGAUUAGAAACCCUAGUAGUCC
rnacentral:rRNA from 1 species